GACGAACGCUGGCGGCGUGCCUAAUACAUGCAAGUUGAGCGCUGAAGGUUGGUACUUGUACCAACUGGAUGAGCAGCGAACGGGUGAGUAACGCGUGGGGAAUCUGCCUUUGAGCGGGGGACAACAUUUGGAAACGAAUGCUAAUACCGCAUAAAAACUUUAAACACAAGUUUUAAGUUUGAAAGAUGCAAUUGCAUCACUCAAAGAUGAUCCCGCGUUGUAUUAGCUAGUUGGUGAGGUAAAGGCUCACCAAGGCGAUGAUACAUAGCCGACCUGAGAGGGUGGUCGGCCACAUUGGGAAUGCGACACGGCCCAAACUCCUACGGGAGGCAGCAGUAGGGAAUCUUCGGCAAUGGACGAAAGUCUGACCGAGCAACGCCGCGUGAGUGAAGAAGGUUUUCGGAUCGUAGAACUCUGUUGGUAGAGAAGAACGUUGGUGAGAGUGGAAAGCUCAUCAAGUGACGGUAACUACCCAGAAAGGGACGGCUAACUACGUG
rnacentral:rRNA from 1 species